AUUGAACGCUGGCGGCAUGCAUCAUACAUGCAAGUCGAACGGGGCACUUGUAGCAAUAUGAGUGCCUAGCGGCGAACGGGUGAGUAACACGUAGGUAACCUACCUCCGAGACCAGAAUAACAGGCCGAAAGGCUUGCUAAUGCUGGAUGUGACCCCGGCCCGGCAUCGGGCAGAGGUAAAAGGCACGGCCGCAAGGCUUGCGCUGGGAGAUGGGCCUGCGGGCUAUCAGCUAGUUGGUGGGGUAACGGCCUACCAAGGCUAUGACGGCUAGCCGGCUUGAGAGAGUGAACGGCCACACUGGAACUGAGACACGGUCCAGACUCCUACGGGAGGCAGCAGUAGGGAAUCUUCCGCAAUGGGCAAAGCCUGACGGAGCAAUGCCGCGUGAACGAUGAAGGCCUUGGGUCGUAAAGUUCUGCUGUGGGGGAAGAAGGUCUGUUCGGCUAAUACCCGAGCAGGUUUGACGGUACUCCACGAGGAAGCCCCGGCUAAUUACG
rnacentral:rRNA from 1 species